CUUAACCUGGGAAGUGCAUCGCAAACGAUACAACUGGAGUAGAUGAGAGGGUGGCGGAAUUUCCGGUGUAGCGGUGAAGUGCGUAGAGAUCGGAAGGAACGUCGAUGGCGAAGGCAGCCACCUGGCGUCAUACUGACGCUGAGGCGCGAAAGCGUGGGUAGCGAACAGGAUUAGAUACCCUGGUAGUCCACGCUGUAAACGAUGAGGACUAGAUGUCGGUAGGGGAACCUAUCGGUAUCGAAGUUAACGCGAUAAGUCUUCCGCCUGGGGAGUACGGCCGCAAGGUUGAAACUCAAAGGAAUUGACGGGGGCCCGCACAAGCGGUGGAGCAUGUGGUUUAAUUCGAUGCAACGCGAAGAACCUUACCUACCCUUGACAUCCUGGGGAUCCUGCAGAGAUGCGGGAGUGCCGAAAGGAACCU
rnacentral:rRNA from 1 species